UGCACACUUUGCGCGCGACACUUAGUCUUUCACCGUCACACAACGAGAGCAGACGUGUCCUGACCAAGCUGAGCCACGCCACGAGGGAGAAAGCUACAAUAUUCCACUUGAGAAGCAUUCACACAGGUGAACAAAAUGGACGAGUGGGACGAGGGAACUACUACAGUAACCAGCCAAUCAAGUCAAGGUGACUCCUGGAACUCUGACCGGGGGAAAUAUGGAAGGGGUGGUGGAGGCAGAGGAGGAUUCCAAAGCUCCUUCUCAGGU